rnacentral:lncRNA from 1 species
CCGCUGAAACCUGUCCACCAUGGGUGAUCCUGCUGGUAUUUGAAAUACUGGUGGCUUAGCUUUCAGCAUCACAGCAACAUGCAGCUGCCACAGUAGGGCAACUGACAGAUAUGUGGUGUGGUUACCGGACUGGGAAAUGAAUCCAGGCCAUUGUGUUGAGGGUGCCAAAUCUUAGCCACUAGACCAUCAUAUCUGGCUAUAGGCUAUAUUUACUGUCUGUUUGUUUUUCAGAUAAUCUGAGAAAACACUACCAAUGCAUCACACAGGAGAUAGAAUGCUGAAUAAUAGACCGUCUGUGUGACCACAAAUGAAUAUGAUAUGUUGCUAAGCUGCAUGAUAUAAUGGGAAGUAGAUUCCUGUUACUUUUGAGAAGCUUACCUCUGUGAUGAUGAGAAAGAGUUGCUUUUCAAAGCAGGGACACUAAAGGGAUCUCUGUUGCAGAAGAUGGACGUUGGCUGGAAAUUGGAUUGGAAGAAUGAAGCUAUACGUCCUGUGCUGAGCUCUCACCCCUGAAA